ACGCUCGACACCUACGGGAGCAGCAGUAGGGAAUCUUCCACAAUGGGCGCAAGCCUGAUGGAGCAACACCGCGUGAGUGAAGAAGGGUUUCGGCUCGUAAAGCUCUGUUGUUGGAGAAGAACGUGCGUGAGAGUAACUGUUCACGCAGUGACGGUAUCCAACCAGAAAGUCACGGCUAACUACGUGCUAGCAGCCGCGGUAAUCUGAGCGGGCUGGCAAGGC
rnacentral:rRNA from 1 species